AUCGUUCUCCGUAACAAUAUCCUGCUCUCUUCCCUCCUCGUUAUUGGCAAUUACAUCCCCGCUCCCUUCUGCCGAGUGCAUCAACGUGGAUGGCGCCGGAGAAUCCGGGGCUGGCGGUACCGGCGGUGCCUUCCUCUUCUCAUAAAAAUUGGACCAAAGAGUACGGCAGACUGAGAAGGCAGAUAGAGCCGUGAAGGCCAACCAAAGCCGCCGAGCUCCAAAUCCAGGAGGAGCAGUCCACAAUAAUCUAAACUUACUCCGAAAGCCGAGGAAAACCAAUCCAGUCCAGCGAGGACGCCAGGACCAACCGAUGACGAGGCCG
rnacentral:misc_RNA from 1 species